rnacentral:lncRNA from 1 species
ACACUCAAUUUACAUUCAUUAUUUGUGAUGAGCAAUCUACUAACUAUGGCCACUAGUCCCCUUGUGCCAUCUGCCAUGCCAGUUUGAACCUCCAAUACCUCCAUCAGAUUCUGAACAUCAAAAAGCAGAGAGUGUCUGCUUGAUGGAUUUGAGGAACCCAGGGACUUAGGAUCUUUAGACCAGGUGGCUUAUGAAAGACUCUCAGAGGAUAUGGUGGGAGCUCUGGCAGAGGUCUUUGAAAACCUUGCAGACAAGACUUAUACUCUGGAGGACUAUGGUGUCUCGUUUGGGGGCUGUGUGCUUAUCAUUAAGCAAGUCAGGGAUCUGGGAACCUACAUGAUCAACAAGCAAACCCCAAACAAGCAAAUCUGGCUAUCUUCU